UAAAUGUCAACGACGGGAAAGAGUAGAUCGGGACACUGUUGCAAAGAGAGCCGGCAUUUGGUGGGAGCAGGCGAACGGUACCCUAUUGAAAAUCAUCCCUGAGACGCAGUGCCGAACGGAGUAAGCACUGCCGGUUUUCCACCGUUAACAGGAAGACGUAUGUUGGUACGUUCAAGUGUCGCUUGCUUUUUUUAGCAGGCGGAAUUCGGGUGGUAACGCGGGUAUAAGCUCGUCCCUUUA
rnacentral:ncRNA from 1 species